rnacentral:lncRNA from 1 species
AUGGCGUGCUCAUAUCCAAGGAUCACACGCUGUGUGUGUGGCAAACACAAGAUCCCACUCAAAGACACCCAUCAGGUGUGCUUGCAUUGCCUGGGAAUCCAGCAUGCGAACGAGGCUAUCGUGGAGUUCGGCAAAUGCCCUCAUUGUGCCAGAAUGGACUGGAGCACACGCAUCAACCGUCUCACCAAACUGCAGGAAGUGAUGCAUCUCGAGAGCCAGCAGCAGAAACACGAGGCGGCGCAGACCGGGCUCCAGGCCGCACCUGACACCACCAUGCUGACCAAUGUCAGUGAGUCCAAAUCGGUCACCGUCCUGUCCGACUCCCAUCCCAUGGCAGUGACACCCGAGCGGUCUUCCGCCAUGCCGUUGAUGUGUGCUCUCAUACACCCGUCGUCUACGGAAGUCUGCAACAACUCUGGGAACGGUGUAGCUAUCCGACAGUCGGCAGACUCCACUCCAUCUUUGAGUUGUGUGCUGCCGCCUUCUAGAUCUCACAAGAGGCAACGUGUCUCCAAGUGUGGCUCCUGUAAGAGAUGCUCAAGGCACGGCUGUAAGCAUGGGCACAGACAGAGGCGUUCCCCUUUACGGUCUUCCUCCACUUCCUGCAGCUCCUCAGAAUCCCCCUGUGAGCCUAGGAAAGAGAAAAGGUCUCGCAGAGGUCUGGAAAGACAGCAUAGUCUUCUGCUGGACGUGGUGAAACUGAAGCUGGAGGAGCAUCAGAAGGCCAUGCAGGCACAGUGGGCCAUGAUGGAGGCCCGGAUCAAGGCCCUGGAAAGCAGAGACUCGGAGGGCGUGCCAGUGUGCUGUCCAGCCCAUGUCAAUGUCGGCCUGCCUUCCGCCUCAUCCCAGGAGGAGGAAACGCAAGACUGGGCUGGUUCCACCACAGACACUUUAAUGACAAUUCUGACACCAGUUGUAAAACAAGAGGAGGAAUUAUCCUCCUUUUCACCCAUUUCCAAUGUAGAUUUUCCUCCUGAAGCUGGAAUAGAAACGAAUUCUUCAUCGCCUGAGGGUAUGGUGUGGAAGAAGGGCGUGCUUGCAGCUCAGCCACUUCAGAAUCUCAUUGCUCGGGCGGCGAAAAGCCUAGGCAUACAUUUUCCCAGAAGCUCCGCCCCUCACAACCCACCACACCCAACAAUGGGGGUCGAGUUUGAGGAGCUUGUGAAAAGCACAUGGCCCAACCCAGCCAGCUCAGAGCCCUUCAGGGAGGUGUGCUCAGAGAUGUACAAACUUAACGAGAGCCAGGCUCCAACCUACGAGCACAUGCCGCAGGUCGGGGGCUUCAUGUCUUCUGUUUUCCAGGCUGUUCAGCCAACUGAGAACCUGGAGAUCCCUGUUCCUGCUGGUCAGUUGCGCAUCACUGAGUCCAUGAUAGAGAAGAUGUACCAGACAGGCGGCAUGCUAGCCAGAAGCGCCAACUACCUGCGCUACCUCUCGGACUACCAGAAGCGGCUCUUGGAGGAGAUCACAGAGAACGUGCGUGCUCAGCGGUUCAUGGAGGUCUUGGAUGAACUUAAGCUCAUUGCUCAGUACACUCACCAGCUCUCGUCCCACCAAGCAGAGCUGUCUGGUAGAGCUAUGGCAGGAUCGGUGGCCAUUAAAAGGCAGGUCUGGAUGGCAAGGACCAAUUACACGGAUGCGCUAAAAUCUAUGGUUGCUGACCUGCCAUUUGUUACGAAUCCGUGUGCUGGGGUCUGCUCAGUUGGUUCGGGACCCUCUGGGCCAGCAUGUAAAGAAGAGCAAUAUAUAUAA